GAAAUGCGAUAAGUAAUGUGAAUUGCAGAAUUCAGUGAAUCAUCGAAUCUUUGAACGCACAUUGCGCCCCCUGGUAUUCCGGGGGGCAUGCCUGUUCGAGCGUCAUUUCACCACUCAAGCCUCGCUUGGUAUUGGGCGACGCGGUCCGCCGCGCGCCUCAAAUCGACCGGCUGGGUCUUCUGUCCCCUAAGCGUUGUGGAAACUAUUCGCUAAAGGGUGCCACGGGAGGUCACGCCGUAAAACAAGCCCAUUUCUAAGGUUGACCUCGGAUCAGGUAGGGAUACCCGCUGACCUUAAGC
rnacentral:misc_RNA from 1 species